rnacentral:rRNA from 1 species
UACGGGGGGUGCAAGCGUUGUUCGGAAUUACUGGGCGUAAAGGGCUCGUAGGUGGCCAACUAAGUCAUACGUGAAAUCCCUCAGCUUAACUGGGGAACUGCGUCUGAUACUGGAUGGCUUGAGUUUGGGAGAGGGAUGCGGAAUUCCAGGUGUAGCGGUGAAAUGCGUAGAUAUCUGGAGGAACACCGGUGGCGAAGGCGGCAUCCUGGACCAAUACUGACACUGAGGAGCGAAAGCCAGGGGAGCAAACAGG